rnacentral:ncRNA from 2 species
UGCUAUCCUGGACGGGCCAGUCACCUCCGUGUGGAGUAGGGAACCCGGUGCGAAUCCGGGACUGACGCGCAGCGGUGUGGGGAUGACGAGGCGGGCCUCUCAAAAGAUCUGAGAGCCACUGGAAGCCAUGCUUCUGGGAAGGCGGCCCGCCGAGGACGACCCCCGAGUCCGAAUACCUGCUGGCGUCCGCGGCGCCGC